UGCAAGUCGAUCGGUAACAGGUGUAGCAAUACAUGCUGACGAGAGGCGGACGGGUGAGGAACGCUUGGGAAUCUGCCUAUCAGCGGGGGACAACCCGGGGAAACUCGGGCUAAUACCGCAUACGCUCUACGGAGGAAAGCCGGGGACCGCAAGGCCUGGCACUGAUAGAUGAGCCCAAGUCGGAUUAGCUAGUUGGCGGGGUAACGGCCCACCAAGGCGACGAUCCGUAGCUGGUCUGAGAGGACGAUCAGCCACACCGGAACUGAGACACGGUCCGGACUCCUACGGGAGGCAGCAGUGGGGAAUAUUGGACAAUGGGCGAAAGCCUGAUCCAGCGACGCCGCGUGGGUGAAGAAGGCCUGCGGGUUGUAAAGCCCUUUCGGUAGGGACGAAAGCUCCUGUCCUAACAAGGCAGGGGGUUGACUUAACCUACAUAAGAAGCACCGGCUAACUCUGUGCCAGCAGCCGCGGUAAUACAGAGGGUGCGAGCGUUAAUCGGAAUUACUGGGCGUAAGCGCACGUAGUCGGCUUGACAAGUCGGGUGUGAAAUCCCCGGGCUCAACCUGGGAACUGCAUCCGAGACUGCCUUGCUAGAGUAUGGGAGAGGGAAGCGGAAUUUCUGGUGUAGCAGUGAAAUGCGUAGAUAUCAGAAGGAACAUCAGUGGCGAAGGCGGCUUCCUGGACCAAUACUGACGAUCAG
rnacentral:rRNA from 1 species